AACGAACGCUGGCGGCGUGCCUAACACAUGCAAGUCGUGCGAGAAAGUUCCUUCGGGAGCGAGUAAAGCGGCGCACGGGUGAGUAACACGUAGGUAACCUGCCCCCCAGUCUGGAACAACUAGAGGAAACUCUAGCUAAUGCCGGAUGAGACCACGAUCCCUUCGGGGGUUGCGGCCAAAGAUGGCCUCUACUUGUAAGCUAUCGCUGAGGGAUGGGCCUGCGGCCAUUAGCUUGUUGGUGAGGUAACGGCUCACCAAGGCUGUGAUGGCUAGCUGGUCUGAGAGGAUGACCAGCCACACUGGGACUGAGACACGGCCCAGACUCCUACGGGAGGCAGCAGUGGGAACAUUGCGCAAUGGGCGAAAGCCUGACGCAGCGACGCCGCGUGGGUGAUGAAGGCC
rnacentral:rRNA from 1 species